rnacentral:rRNA from 1 species
GACGAACGCUGGCGGCGUGCUUAACACAUGCAAGUCGAACGGAAAGGCCCUGCUUUUGUGGGGUGCUCGAGUGGCGAACGGGUGAGUAACACGUGAGUAACCUGCCCUUGACUUUUGGAUAACUUCAUGAAACUGGGGCUAAUACCGGAUAGGAGCUCCUGCUGCUGGUGGGGGUUGGAAAGUUUCGGCGGUGGGGGAUGGACUCGCGGCUUAUCAGCUUGUUGGUGGGGUAGUGGCUUACCAAGGCUUUGACGGGUAGCCGGCCUGAGAGGGUGACCGGCCACAUUGGGACUGAGAUACGGUCCCGAAUCCUACGGGAGGAAGCAGUGGGGAAUAUUGAAAAAAGGGCGGAAGCCUGAUGCAGCCACGCCGCGUGCGGGAUGACGGCCUUCGGGUUGUAAACCGCUUUCGCGUGUGCCGAAGCGUGAGUGACGGUAAUGGGUAAAGAAGCACCGGCUAACUACGUG